AUUGAACGCUGGCGGCAGGCUUAACACAUGCAAGUUGAGCGGGGAAGAGUAGCUUGCUACUGGACCUAGCGGCGGACGGGUGAGUAAUGCUUAGGAAUCUGCCUAUUAGUGGGGGACAACAUCUCGAAAGGGAUGCUAAUACCGCAUACGUCCUACGAGAGAAAGCAGGGGACCUUCGGGCCUUGCGCUAAUAGAUGAGCCUAAGUCGGAUUAGCUAGUUGGUGGGGUAAAGGCCUGCCAAGGCGACGAUCUGUAGCGGGUCUGAGAGGAUGAUCCGCCACACUGGGACUGAGACACGGCCCAGACUCCUACGGGAGGCAGCAGUGGGGAAUAUUGGACAAUGGGGGGAACCCUGAUCCAGCCAUGCCGCGUGUGUGAAGAAGGCCUUUUGGUUGUAAAGCACUUUAAGCGAGGAGGAGGCUACCGAGAUUAAUACUCUUGGAUAGCGGACGUUACUCGCAGAAUAAGCACCGGCUAACUCUGUGCCAGCAGCCGCAGUAAUAC
rnacentral:rRNA from 1 species